rnacentral:rRNA from 1 species
AUGGGGCCCGCGGCGCUUCGCACUUGCCCCUUCGCUUCUCUGCUAAGCCAAGUCCAGACGCGCCUUGGGCCCGGGGGCUACUGUCGGCGUUCUGGGAACGGGGGUACCCAGACUUGCUUGCCUGCGGCCUGCAGCGUGGCUCAGGGAGUGGCCCAGUACGGCCCAUCUUCAUCAACACACGUUCAAGACCCUCGCGAGGGGCCAAGCCUCGCGGGGCGGACGACAGGAGGCUUCCUCGGGCACGACCUCGUCAGGCUGGCUCGCGAGGAGGCGGAGAGAUCAAGGCGGGGUACCUCACGAGGUGCCCACGACGCAAGCCAUGACGACCGAGGCCAGGCGGGCUCCAAGCGGGUGCCGGCCUGCGCAGAGUCCUUGUUUCCUCUUUGGUGCAAAGGGGGCAAGCGCAGGCAAGAGUAUCAAGCAAAGGCAACCAUUUCGGUGCAACAAGACCAAGACCAGCAGGACAACAGGAUGAAGGUCAUCGUGGAGCCCAAGCCGGCGUCACCGUCAGGGUCUUUGGCAGGCGAGGACCGACUUUAG